AUUGAACGCUGGCGGCAUGCUUUACACAUGCAAGUCGAACGGCAGCGCGGGCUUCGGCCUGGCGGCGAGUGGCGAACGGGUGAGUAAUACAUCGGAACGUGCCCAGUAGGGGGGGAUAGCUCGGCGAAAGCCGGAUUAAUACCGCAUACGACCUGAGGGUGAAAGCGGGGGAUCUUCGGACCUCGCGCUAUUGGAGCGGCCGAUGGCAGAUUAGCUAGUUGGUGGGGUAAAGGCCUACCAAGGCGACGAUCUGUAGCUGGUCUGAGAGGACGACCAGCCACACUGGGACUGGGACACGGCCCAGACUCCUACGGGAGGCAGCAGUGGGGAAUUUUGGACAAUGGGCGAAAGCCUGAUCCAGCAAUGCCGCGUGUGUGAUGAAGGCCUUCGGGUUGUAAAGCACUUUUGGCGGGAACGAAAAGGACUGUGCCAAUACCACGGUUCGAUGACGGUACCCGCAGAAUAAGCACCGGCUAACUACGUG
rnacentral:rRNA from 1 species